AUCGAACGCUGGCGGCAUGCCUAAUACAUGCAAGUCGAGCGAAGCGGCGGAUUGGUGAGUAACUCGUGGGUAACCUGCCCUUAAGUCUGGGAUACCAUUUGGAAACAGAUGCUAAUCACGGCUACUAAAGGAUGGACCUGCGCUGCAUUAGCUAGUUGGUAAGGUAACGGCGUACCAAGGCGAUGAUGCAUAGCCGACUUGAGAGACUGAUCGGCCACAUUGGGACUGAGACACGGCCCAAACUCCUACGGGAGGCAGCAGUAGGGAAUCUUCCACAAGGGACGAAAGUCUGAUGGAGCAACGCCGCGUGAGUGAAGAAGGGUUUCGGAUCGUAAAGCGCUGUUGUUGGUGAAGCGGUAAUCAACCAGAAAGUCACGGCUAACUACGUGCCAGCAGCCGCGGUAAUAC
rnacentral:rRNA from 1 species